rnacentral:rRNA from 1 species
UACGUAGGGUGCAAGCGUUAUCCGGAAUUAUUGGGCGUAAAGAGCUCGUAGGCGGUUUGUCACGUCUGCUGUGAAAACUGGAGGCUCAACCUCCAGCCUGCAGUGGGUACGGGCAGACUAGAGUGCGGUAGGGGAGAUUGGAAUUCCUGGUGUAGCGGUGGAAUGCGCAGAUAUCAGGAGGAACACCGAUGGCGAAGGCAGAUCUCUGGGCCGUUACUGACGCUGAGACGCGAAAGCGUGGGGAGCAAACAGG